CCCUUAGAUGUUCUGGGCCGCACACGCGCUACACUGAAGGAGGCAGCGUGUACUCCUGGAUCGAAAGAUUUGGGUAACCCGCGAAUCUCCUUCGUGCUAGGGAUUGAGGUUUGCAAUUAUCCUUCAUGAACGAGGAAUUCCCAGUAAGUGCAAGUCAUCAGCUUGCAUUGAUUACGUCCCUGCCCUUUGUACACACCGCCCGUCGCACCUACUGAUUGGAUGACUCGGUGAAAAAUUGGGACUGUGAAGAACACUGCUUAAUUGCGGCGUUUUUUAUGGGAACUUUUUUAAACCUCGUUAUCUAGAAGAAGGUGAAGUCGUAACA
rnacentral:rRNA from 1 species